rnacentral:rRNA from 1 species
GACGAACGCUGGCGGCGUGCUUAACACAUGCAAGUCGAACGAUGAAGCCGGAGCUUGCUCUGGUGAAUUAGUGGCGAACGGGUGAGUAACACGUGAGUAACCUGCCCUUGACUCUGGGAUAACUGCGGGAAACUGUAGCUAAUACCGGAUACGACCCUCGGAGGCAUCUCCUGGGGGUGGAAAGAAUUUCGGUCAAGGAUGGACUCGCGGCCUAUCAGCUAGUUGGUGAGGUAAAGGCUCACCAAGGCGACGACGGGUAGCCGGCCUGAGAGGGUGACCGGACACACUGGGACUGAGACACGGCCCAGACUCCUACGGGAGGCAGCAGUGGGGAAUAUUGCACAAUGGGCGCAAGCCUGAUGCAGCAACGCCGCGUGAGGGAUGACGGCCUUCGGGUUGUAAACCUCUUUUAGCAGGGAAGAAGCGAAAGUGACGGUACCUGCAGAAAAAGCACCGGCUAGCUACGUGCCAGCAGCCGCCGUAA